CGGUUUCUCAUCAUAUGUUACCUAUUAUUAUUGCAAACCUGGUAAAGGAUGUUUAAGACCACAGUACGUUAAAGAGUUCGGACUUCCUUUUUUACAGAUAAAAGGGGCCAUUGCAAGUUUUUGAGAAGGGGAGAAAAAUGAUCCAUACUGUAUAUAGAAGAUAACGCCAGCAUAAUGAAGAAUUGUUAGAGAAAUACAGUCAUUUGGAUGUCUCUGCUGGACACUCAAGCUUCAUCUGGUGGGCACAGCCAUGGUUGCUAUCUUCAAAAACUCAGGCUAUGUCUGCCAACUCUCAAAGAACAAAGUUUCUGGGUUUCUGCUGAUUCAACCUUAAAGUUCAAGCCCAAAUCAUUCUCCGAAAUCAGAGUGCCGAGAGGGCUGCCUUCAAGAACCUCUCCCCCUGCUCAGAGCCUCUGAAACAAGGUCCUUUCCUUGAUCUCCAGCCUUGGUUAGUUUCUUUAAACUUCUUUCCAGCUUCUGAUCUUGAUUAUUUCUUUUCUCUUUUCAUUUCCUAGUCAUUUCUUUCUUUCUUUUUUUUUUUUUUUUUUUGCACACUUUCCUGGCCAUCUUACCCCAGGACCCAAUUAUAUCUACUUUCUUUUUUUCCUAUCAACAAUUUUCAGAAUAUACUACCUGGGCAUUAGAAAAAAAUCAAUAUUUACUUAAGUGCACAGAAAAUAGCUCUUGUCUAUAGUAAAAGGAGAUACCAAAGAAAUUAAAUAUCAUGAUAUAAUGGAGACUGAUCACAUUCUGGACUGGAAUUCAGAGAGCUGGCUCAUCAUUUUGACUCUACCACUUUUAAUUAUGUGACCUUGGGAAGUCGAUUUCACAUACUCUGUAACUCUUUAUUUAUAGUAUGACCUCUAAUGCCCAACAUGAUCAUAUAUUUUAUGAUUUUAAAGAUCUACACUGCAAAGUUAACUUGGUCAAGCCAACCAUAUGUUCAUUAGCUAAAACAAAAUUUAUGCUGAAUCAAGGAAAAUGAUUAUUUUGUUUGAAUUAAGUUUGACUUUAUCUCUUACUCUAGUGCCUGAGAAAGACCUAAAAUAUGUCUACCUCUGGACUUAUGUGUAUAGAUUAACUUUUGCUAUAAUAAUGAUGUGUAACCAUCACACUCUUUAAUAAUGCACAUUUGAGUUAGAUUGGAGAUUGGUUUGUCUCAACUGGGCCUGGUUUGAGUGUUUCUUCUUGGAGCUAACAGCCUAUCCUGAAAAUGUUCUUUUUAUGAUUAUGGCAGAGAACAAGAGAGUGAGUCCAACCACACAAGCAACUUUCAAGUCUUGGGUAAGUCAGGUCCAUGAUAUUCCAUUGUCCAAAGCAAGUCAUAUGGCCAAGCCCAAGGUCAAGAUGUGCUCAUGAUGCAGGCAAGAGCCUGGGCUGAGCAUGAUGGGAGGAAGAGUGAAGGAAGAUUGGAACUGGGGUGCUUAUGCAAGGCCCUGGACAAUUCCUGGCACAGGGUGGCCAAUGAAAUGUGAUUUAUAAGAGGAAAGGAGUUUGGGGGAGAGUGGACACCUGUGUGGUAUGGCUGAAUCCCUUUUUAGUCCACCUGAAACUAUCACAUUGUUAAUUGGCUAUACUCUGAUAUAAAAUAAAAAAUUUAAAAAAGAAUGAACACAUAAAACUGCUAAUCUGUAAAUUUGUUUUCCAAAUUCACUCCAGUAAAGUAAAAGUUUUAUGUGUGAAAUACUGGUCUAUCUUUAAAUUCUUUUUCUUUAAGGAGUCAUUAAAAUGCUUUAUGAAAUAUUAGUGUGUUAGGAGGAGGAAGAAAAAGUAAAAGGCAUUAUAACAUUCUAAAGGUCUGAAAGUACGAAGCUGAGAAGGCCAGAGGCAAUAUAAAUACAAUAUUCUGGACUGUCUUACUUUUUCUGUAACAU